rnacentral:rRNA from 1 species
AAUAUAUUUCAAUGGAGGCAACUCUGAACCAGCCAAGUCGCGUGAGGGAGGAAGGUCUUAUGUAUNGUAGACUUCUUUUGCAAGGGNAUAAAGUGGGGGACGUGUCCUCCUUUGCAUGUACCUUGCGAAUAAGGAUCGGCGAGCUCCGUGCCGGUGGCCGCGGUACUACGGAGGAUCCGAGCGUUAUCCGGAUUUAUUGGGUUUAAGGGGUGCGCAGGGGGGGAGUUAAGUCGACGGUGAAAUUUAGCAGCUCAACUGAAAAAGUGACUUGGAUCCUGGCUUUCUUGAGUGUGGAUGGAGUGGGCGGAAUUUGUGGUGUAGCGGUGAAAUGCUUAGAUAUCACGAGGAACACCAAUUGCGCAGGCAGCUUACUAAACCACUACUGACGCUAAUGCACGAAGGCGUGGGGAUCAAACAGG